rnacentral:lncRNA from 1 species
AGGAGAAGUCUCAGUAGUCGGCGGAGCAUCAGCAGUCGGCGGAGCCACAGAAGGAGGAGGUAUCAGAGGUUGAUCAUUUGGAGCUUCACUACGUGGUACAGCCCCAGAAGACGAAGGCAAAUGUUGUUGGAACAAACCCAUAAACCUCUGAUGAUCAAGUAAAAUCUGACCAUCAGAUUCCUGCAUCUGGUCAAUCUUC